GGAAGGCAGCUGCCGGAUCGGCCAGACAUCAGUCAGCAGCACUCCACGCAUAGCCGCAGCUUUUCCUUGGAACGGAUAAACGGCCGCCGCACGCAGGCCGCAUUGCCGAGAUGUGAAGUUGUCAACGCGGCCGGACGUACCACGGCUUCCUGCGCUCCCUGCACCAGUUGGUCAGAUGACAGCGUCAUACACUCGUACUCCCAGCGACCCCGCACGAGCUGUCACCUGAGAGUGACAAAGGAAAAAAUUUCAAGCUUGUCCGACACAAAAGUGAUCAACGGGAUGAGCACCGAACAAGAGACGAGCGACGAAAGCGAUAGAGACCCCUAGGAUUCACAUCAGGCUAGAUGACAACUGCUCCAUCCCUCUCUCUCUCUCGUUACCGACUCAACAGUUGUACACACAUCAGAUGGUCCAACAGGAGAAAUACAUCGCAGUGGCCGUGACUCUGCUGCUCUUGACCGGCAAACACACACUGAUGGAUGGCUGCACCUGCACAAGCUGAGGACUGCUCUCGAUCCGUGAUCAAAUGAGAGAGUUUCUCCAUCAAAGUCCUUAUACUACUCCCUAUUUCAAACUUUAAUUUGUAAACAGCAGUGCAAAACAGUUCUUUACAUACUAGUCGUUUACAAGGCGGGAGAUAGUUUCA